GGGGGCGGCGACAGGCUUGCGCAUGCGCACUUACCGCCAACAUUUGAAAAGAAUACCGUUUGCGUUGCGUUGCAGUUUAUUGAGCUCGAUCGAGAAGUGGGACGAAGAAGGCCGUUAAUAAUUCAACUACUUAAAGAAUGCGGGUUAGAUGUGGACGACUUCGAAGACAUUUGCAGUAGGCUAAACAGAGAAAGAGAGGGAGACCCAAAACUACUUGUCCUGGCAUCACAUUUGAGGAGGAGAUGAAGUCGGUGAAUAUGACCUAGCCCGGGGGAGUUUCCAGAAGACGGCCCAGAACCACUGGCCGCCAGGAGUGGAGGUCCUUUGUUGUUGCUCUACAUGUCAGGAGGCAUCGGGCAGUAGCUCUGGUAGAAGCACCAUCUUGAUACCAUCAUUCAAACUCUCAUCAGCUGUAUCAUUAUAGGUGGACUAAAAGAACAAUAUUCAUGCAGAUAUAAUGAUGCCUUAAGUUGAAAUGGAAGGUGUCCUGAAUCUGCACCCAUUCAUCUGGUUUCGUAACUCCUUUCAUAGUGCUAUUGGAACCUGCUCCCUACCAGUAUAACAUCAAACAGAUUGGAAGAAUAAAGGCCAAUGGGAAGUGCCUUUUAUAUUUCUACUUGCCACAAAGCAGUCCAUGGUUUAGCGCUAUCUAAACUGGACUAUUGUAAUGCUCUUCGUGCUUGAAUUAGGGCGAUCUGGACUGACUGCAUAUAGUACAGAAUGCUGCAUCUAUUGUGCCAUUUGCCAUACGCCAACUUCGCUGGCUGCAAGUCAAGGAAAGGAUAUACAUGAACAUCAGUGUCCGUCUCCUGAUUUUCAAAGUCAUUGACAGAGAUCGAGAUUACAUGUUUUAUAAGGAAUCCCUUGUGCGUCAUUUUCAUUCUAGGCGCACUUGCCUUUUUAUUUUUGUGAUCAUUACGCACCUACGAAUUAGCUACUGGUGAUGCAACUUUCUCCACUACUGCUCCAAGGCCGUGGAAUUAGCUCCUUCCUCUCCUCCAGUUGUCAACAACCUUGGAUCAAUCCAAAUACAAUUUGAGAAGACCUACCAUCCUGAUCUUUGCUCUGUACUUACAACAAUACUGUCACUGUCUGGUAAUUUGAAUUUUUUUAAAUCUCAUGCGCUUUGUAUCUCGCAAAAUAACGUGUUGUGUAAAAGCGAACAUGCAUUGAGGUCAAGUUUAAGGGUAACCAUGGAUAUUGCCUUUUAUUACUUUUUAACAAAACUGAAAAAUUCAUCCAAAUUAGACAAGGGAUAAUAAAGUAAUGUAUGACAUUCUAACCUCUGCAUUAAUUUGGUGAAAGAGCUCUAAGCAUAUAUGCAAGUAGCAAGCUGAUGAUGUCAUACUGACGUACAUUGUACAUGUACACGUAUCCCCAACUUAUUAUUUUGUAUAUAAAAUUGUGCAUUUAAUUUUGUUUACCAAGAAUGAAACAAAUCGGAUUGUAAACUGUAUUGAUGUGACUUACCUGUAUUGAUUAUUGCUGGAAGUUCUUUUGCUACAUGGGAUUGGAAGACAUACUUAUUACACACAUGAAGUAAAUUAUUAUUUUAUCUGGUAACAUGAGAACAAUAAAAAUGUGGGCAUGAUAUCAUAAACUUACAUGUAUCUACUUGCAUGUGUUGAUGACCAAUAUUUUUGUAAUUAUUUUUUUUUUAUUUUAUCUGAUUUUGAUAAAAUUUUCACUAUUUUGCAUGGUAAAAAUUACUUUAUUUUAGAUUAUGUUGAGCCCGUAUCAUAUACAAGUACAACUUUAAAGAUAAAUUACCAGUUGUAGUAACAAUCUUAAAAUGAGUUCGAACAGAAUCCAAUAGAAUUACCAGCAAAAUAUAAAAGACAUGUGCCAUAAUUAAUUAUAGCUCGGGAAGAAAAUGUGUAAUUGCUGAGAAAUGAGCAAAAUAAGCAUGUAAUUCUAUCCAAUGUCAGGUAUUUUUCAAAUCAAUCAUAAUACACUGUCCUGUCCCACAUGUUCUUUUCUGUGUUAGUGAUCAUCAAAAUAAUUAAUUUUAAGUUCAAAAUUAGUGAUUUUACAAAAAUACAAGCUUACAUUAAUGUACCAGAUCUAGAGAUUAUGUACAAUAUUUUGACAAUUUCUCAUGAAAUAAUUGUUUGCUGCAACUGCUGUCUUUUUAAUACGUUUAAGUGAUAGUGUAAUACAACCACAAACUUUUCUUAAGAAUUAAUGUACAUGUAUGAUUCUUUCACCCAAAUUUACAUGCAUUGAUACUGUUGACUACUUGCCAAAAGUUCCUGCCAAAAGCCUUUUUUAACGAUGUACAUGCUUUUAUAGACGACCUGCCAAAACAUUGUAUUGUAUUAUAUUCAAGGUCCAACCAAAAAGAGAUGAAUAAAAUGUUUGAAGGAAAUUGAAAUUAACUUUAAAAAUGAUAGAGCUCUGUCAAUGCAGUAUUAUUACAGGGUUCCCACAGUCAUGGAAAAUCCUGGAAGAAAAUUGGUCAUGGAAAGUCAGGGAUAUGUGAAAAGUCAUGGAAUUGCAUUUACCUCUUGGCUAUGACAGCUUUCUAGUUUUUUAUGUCUCACAACUCUCAUACUCUGUGAUUGUACUCUACUAUUAUAAUUGGUGUUCAUGAUCAUAACAUGUCUGAUUUUGUAAACUGUGCCAGAAAGGAAUUAAGUCAUGGAAAGCAGCAAUUUAGUCAUGGAGAGGUCAUGGAAUUCUGUUUUCAAAUUUCUGUGGGAACCAUGAAUAGGUUUGUGCACUUGACACAGUGUGCACUACAGAUGAACUUUGUAAUGCCAUGAUAUAAACCAGUACAAUAUCUUAAAGGAAAAUAAAACCCAAAAUAUAAUACCACAUGAUACCAUUGAUAAAUACAGGACAAUGAAAAUGAAUCCACUCAUAUACCCCCAAUCCGAUGUCCCAGUAUGGAGUACCACCUUUUCAAAGUUGGCAUCUUCUGGUACAAAGUCUAUGGAUGGGGAUUAUUCCGUCAGCGACGAACUACAUCUCUAAACGUUUGGGCAUUAUAUAUUCUAUUUCAUCGAUAAUAAAUCAAAUGUACAGAUAAAACUCAUAAAAUAUUAAUUAAAAUUUGUUUAAUAUUAUAUGAUAGGUUCAAAUUACGACUUGAUGAGUUUUAAUGAUAAAAAUUACACCCUAAUCUACGAUUUACAAAUUGGCAGCGGAAAUUGGGGUGUAAAUCUUAUCAUUAAAACUCAUCAAAUUGUAUUUUGAACCUACCAUAUAUUAAACAAAUUUUAACUAAUAUUUUUAUGAGUUUUAUCUGUACAUUUGAUUUGUUAUUGAUAAAAUAGAAUAUAUAAUGCCUAAACGUUUAGAGAUGUAGUUCGUCGCUGAUGUAAUAAUUUCCUAACUAACCCCGCGAAAAUGGCGACCUCCAUCCAGAAACUUCGAACCAUACUGUAAGAGGCCAACUUUGAAAAGGUGGUACUCCGUAAUUGGAUUAGGGUAUGAGUGGAUUCAUGUUGAUUGUCCUGUAUUUAUCAAUAAUAUCAUGUGGUUUUAUGUUUUGGGUGUUAUUUUCCUUUAAUUCAGAUAUUACAUGCCAGGGUAUUGUCCUAGUUUUCAUUUUCUCCAAAUACAUAUUAUCAUCUCUCGUCUAUUUCUACUUGCCCUUCAGCCUUGAAGUAAACUUGGGGUAAUUAUGCAUUUUGUUAUACGCAAUUUUGAGUACAGUGCACUUUGCCGCAGCUACUUAUAUGAUAUUACCUAUUGUAGACACAUCCUUAUGUUUUGUUCAUUUUCUUAAAAACGAUUAAGAGUUUAAUCAUUUUUGUCUUUAAGCAUAAAACAAAGAGUAAAUCAGUCCAUUCUGUAUGUGUGACCUGCAAAAAAACUACAAUGGUCGUUAAUUUGGUUUGCUGAAAAGCCAGAUAACCUUUGAGGUAACUUUUUAAAGUAUUUAGAAGAAAUGUAUCUUUUUAAAAAGUAUUUAUAUGCACUGUAACUAAUUUCUUUGAUAGUUACUAUUAUGUUACACUGUUUGUACAGUAAAGCAGCUGUUACACAAUUUUUGUCAAUAGCAAAUCUAAACCAGUAUUGUAAAUUGAUGACUCUAUGAGCUAAAUACCAGUACUUUCUAUAUCACUUGUAAAA